rnacentral:rRNA from 1 species
UACCAGACUCCUACGGGAGGCAGCAGUGAGGAAUAUUGGUCAAUGGGCGCGAGCCUGAACCAGCCAAGUCGCGUGAGGGAGGACGGCCCUACGGGUUGUAAACCUCUUUUGCCGGGGAGCAAGCCUGAGCACGUGUGCCCAGGCGGAGAGUACCCGGAGAAAAAGCAUCGGCUAACUCCGUGCCAGCAGCCGCGGUAAUACGGAGGAUGCGAGCGUUAUCCGGAUUUAUUGGGUUUAAAGGGUGCGCAGGCGGCACGGCAAGCCGGCGGUCAAAUCGCGGGGCUCAACCCCGCCCAGCCGUCGGAACUGCCGGGCUAGAGUGGGCGAGAAGUGCGCGGAAUGCGUGGUGUAGCGGUGAAAUGCAUAGAUAUCACGCAGAACUCCGAUUGCGAAGGCAGCAUGCCGGCUCCACACUGACGCUGAGGCACGAAAGCGUGGGUAUCGAACAGGAUUAGAUACCCCUGUAG